rnacentral:rRNA from 2 species
CACGUAGGGGACGAGCGUUGUCCGGAUUCAUUGGGCGUAAAGCGCGCGUAGGCGGCUCGGAAAGUCGGUCGUGAAAUGCCGGGGCUCAACCCCGGGACUGCGUCCGAUACUUCCGGGCUGGAGGUAGGUAGGGGAGAUCGGAAUUCCUGGUGUAGCGGUGAAAUGCGCAGAUAUCAGGAGGAACACCGGUGGCGAAGGCGGAUCUCUGGGCCUUACCUGACGCUGAGGCGCGAAAGCUAGGGGAGCGAACAGG